CUCCUUUUUAAUUUGAUCAGUUCUUCAUAUUCUCUGCUCAAUCCAAAGGUUUCAUUUUCUUCCUCUUCCUCUCCCAUUUCCUGUCUCAGUUGUUCAAAUUCUUGUUUCUCCAUUUCUAGCUUAUGCUUCCGUUCCUCCUCUGUUCGUCGUUUUUCUUCUUCCAUUUUUUGUUUUAAUAAUUCUUCAAAAUUAAUUUCCAGUUUUCCCGGUGUAAGAAAUUCUUGAGAGAUUGUCUUAUACAUCUCUGGGGAGUCAUCAUCUACUACCUAUUUAAAAUAAUUAUUUUAUCACUCUGG
rnacentral:lncRNA from 1 species